UUAUUACCGACGCAAACUUUGCUUUAGGGCAGCUGCUUGGGGACUACGAGCGUGUGCUUAAAACUCAAAGAACUUGGCGGCAAGUUAACUACCUAGGGGAAUAUGCGUCUUAAUCCGAUGAUCCACGUGGAAUCUUACUGUACCUUGAAAAAGAGCAGCCGGUGUAUUGCCGUCGUCAGCUUGUUGUUCAAGCAAGGAGAAACAAGCUUAAUGGAGCUGGCGAUGUUAAUCGACAGGGUCCGUAAAGUCAGGUCGAAAUACUGCCUAUGGUACAAGGGAGCGGGUAUUACAAUUCAAAUUUCGAAAUACGGAGCUUGGAAGAAAUGUGAAACCUCCAGGUGAAGGUGGACUUAGGAGUAAGGGAAGAUUAAUAUGCUCCCCUGAACAUGAAACUAGCUUGUGUACAAACCGCCCGUCGCUCUCGCCGGAAGGUGAGA
rnacentral:rRNA from 1 species